GAAGGGGCUAGCGUUGCUCGGAAUCACUGGGCGUAAAGGGCGCGUAGGCGGCCGAUUAAGUCGGGGUGAAAGCCUGUGGCUCAACCACAGAAUUGCCUUCGAUACUGGUUGGCUUGAGACCGGAAGAGGACAGCGGAACUGCGAGUGUAGAGGUGAAAUUCGUAGAUAUUCGCAAGAACACCAGUGGCGAAGGCGGCUGUCUGGUCCGGUUCUGACGCUGAGGCGCGAAAGCGUGGGGGAGCAAACAGGAUUAGAUACCCUGGUAGCCCACGCCGUAAACGAUGAAUGCCCAGCCGUUGGCCUGCUUGCAGGUCAGUGGCGCCGCUAACGCAUUAAGCAUUCCGCCUGGGGAGUACGGUCGCAAGAUUA
rnacentral:rRNA from 1 species